rnacentral:tRNA from 1 species
GUCCAUGUAGUAUAUUCCAUUACACCGGUCUUGUAAACCGGAAAAGGGAAAAAACUUUCCCCAUAGACUU